rnacentral:rRNA from 1 species
UACAGAGGGUGCAAGCGUUAAUCGGAAUUACUGGGCGUAAAGCGCACGUAGGCGGUUGGUUAAGUUGGAUGUGAAAGCCCCGGGCUCAACCUGGGAAUUGCAUUCAAAACUGCUGAGCUAGAGUACGGUAGAGGGUGGAGGAAUUUCCUGUGUAGCGGUGAAAUGCGUAGAUAUAGGAAGGAACACCAGUGGCGAAGGCGACCACCUGGACUGAUACUGACACUGAGGUGCGAAAGCGUGGGGAGCAAACAGG